UACGUAGGGUGCGAGCGUUGUCCGGAUUUAUUGGGCGUAAAGAGCUCGUAGGCGGUUUGUCGCGUCGGCCGUGAAAUCUCCACGCUUAACGUGGAGCGUGCGGUCGAUACGGGCAGACUUGAGUUCGGUAGGGGAGACUGGAAUUCCUGGUGUAGCGGUGAAAUGCGCAGAUAUCAGGAGGAACACCGGUGGCGAAGGCGGCUUCCUGGACCGACACUGACGCUGGAGGCGCGAAAGCUAGGGGAGCAAACGGGG
rnacentral:rRNA from 1 species